GAUGAACGCUGGCGGCGUGCCUAAUACAUGCAAGUCGAGCGAACGGACGAGAAGCUUGCUUCUCUGAUGUUAGCGGCGGACGGGUGAGUAACACGUGGAUAACCUACCUAUAAGACUGGGAUAACUUCGGGAAACCGGAGCUAAUACCGGAUGAUAUUUUGAACCGCAUGGUUCAACAGUGAAAGACGGUCUUGCUGUCACUUAUAGAUGGAUCCGCGCUGCAUUAGCUAGUUGGUAAGGUAACGGCUUACCAAGGCAACGAUGCGUAGCCGACCUGAGAGGGUGAUCGGCCACACUGGAACUGAGACACGGUCCAGACUCCUACGGGAGGCAGCAGUAGGGAAUCUUCCGCAAUGGGCGAAAGCCUGACGGAGCAACGCCGCGUGAGUGAUGAAGGUCUUCGGAUCGUAAAACUCUGUUAUUAGGGAAGAACAUAUGUGUAAGUAACUGUGCACAUCUUGACGGUACCUAAUCAGAAAGCCACGGCUAACUACGUG
rnacentral:rRNA from 1 species